rnacentral:rRNA from 1 species
ACGGAAGGCAGCAGUGGGGGAUAUUGCACAAUGGGGGAAACCCUGAUGCAGCGACGCCGCGUGAGUGAUGAAGUAUUUCGGUAUGUAAAGCUCUAUCAGCAGGAAAGAUAAUGACGGUACCUGACUAAGAAGCACCGGCUAAAUACGUGCCAGCAGCCGCGGUAAUACGUAUGGUGCAAGCGUUAUCCGGAUUUAUUGGGUUUAAAGGGUGCGUAGGCUGUGCCGCAAGUCAGUGGUGAAAGCCCGGGGCUUAACUCCGGAACUGCCAUUGAUACUGUGGUGCUGGAAUACGGAUGCCGUGGGAGGAAUGAGUAGUGUAGCGGUGAAAUGCAUAGAUAUUACUCAGAACACCGAUUGCGAAGGCAUCUCACGAAUCCGUCAUUGACGCUGAGGCACGAAAGCGUGGGGAUCAAACAGGAUUAGAUACCCUGGUA